rnacentral:misc_RNA from 1 species
UAUUAUUAUUAUUAUUAUUAUUCUCCCUAUAAAGAGCUGAGAAAGAUGAAAUUGAAGAAGUUAUUUGAGCAGCAUUUGGAUUGGAAUCUGGACGAAGCAAGAGUAGAGAUGGUGAACAGUGAAUACAAUAAAAUUUGACAGCUUGAGAUUGGAGAGCAGAUGACGUACGAGCUUCUUUUCACUUAGAUGUGUGCAGAGCUCAUCGUGCGAGAUUUGAAAUUUAAGAAGAGUGCAGACUGCACAGCGAGAGCUUUUGUAAAGGGAACAUAAAUCAGAGAGAGAGAGAGAGAGA